GCUGUCCUGAUCCUCCAAUGGAAGAUUAUGAUGAAGCAGAUGUAGCAGUGGCUGAGGCAGGCAAUGGCCAACAAGGACUUGCACAUAGAGCUGCAUUCACAAUACAGCACUUCAGCUAGGUGGUGGCAGCAUCUUUUCUCAGGGAUGCUGGAGCAGAUGUGGAGGGCACACACUCACUGUGCUCUGGCUCUGCCAGCCUGUUCAGAUCCCUCUGUUCUGUGGGGGGAAAAAACCCACAGAAGCACAAAUAAAGAAGCACACAUGAUCCUUAAGAAGAAUAAAGAUUGACAGAGUGGAAUAUGUGCCAAAGGCAGUAACCAAUUUCUUUCUUACGUACCAUUUGUUCUCAGUUCUUCAUCUGAACUGUUGAAGUGAUCAUCAUCUGGUAUACCUUCCAGAGGUUGCUGGUUCUGUAUUAUUCCAGACAACAAGUCGCUCACUUCAUCAGUUUUGUCUUUAUUUGGUGCUCCACCACCAGUAAUAAAUCGCUGUCUUCUUA